rnacentral:ncRNA from 1 species
ACGGAGAAUCCGGUGACAUUCCGGAACGGUCGCGCCACUGUGUGGUCCCCUGCAGGUCAGGGGACUCGAGUCAGAUAUCC